GUCACAUGGGGACUUGUUGUAAGCCCAAGCAGUAUGUUUUAGCUCUGCUGUGCUUCGGCUCAACGACACGACGUCAGGAUUAGAUCCUCCCUGUCAAGUUUAGGCAGGUAACUGAACCUGUGCUCCACGCCCUCCGCCGCGCUGUUACGCGCAGGUACUGUGGAGGAGGAAGUGGCUGUCACCGUCGUAGCUGUUGUAGUAAUGUCAAUGGAAGUGCAGCUGUGUAUUUGAGAUUAAGCAGCACCCUUUUUCUCUUUACAUUUUAAAUUUAGGAUCAGAAAAUCUUCCUUAGCGAGCAUGCGGCUCCGUGCGACCUGCGCGCUGCUGGGACUUCUGUUGUUCACAGUCUUCGACGCAUCAGUUUGCCUACAGACGGUGGUCCGACCGGACAAAGGCUCGACUGUGACCGUGUCCACUCAGCUGCCUUUGGAUCGGUGUGCUGUGUGUACCGUCAGCGGAGUGAAUGACACACAGAUUUCCUGCCACUCCUCUCUCCCUCUGGUACCUGAGGAGGAGGUUAAAUUGCUGUUCAACUGCUCAGAGUCACUUGAACAAACUUACACUGUCACAAUAACUCGGACCAUCGAAUGCACUAAGGAUGCCUGCAGCCCCACAACUGUAGAAACUCAACCCUCCAUCCUCACAGAGUUCGCCCGAAACUUCACCUGGGAGAUUAAAGCACCUGAGAGGACGGUUGUCCGCCUGGACAUCCUUGGGGACGGACUGGUGGAGACAUCGCUUCCAUGCCCUAAUGGAUUUCAGUAUUCGGCAGCCAUGUCCAAAACGAACAGCAAAGGCCGCACCGAGUACUGUCGAGGGGGUUCUGUCACUUAUUUAGAUCUGGUCGAUCAGGCCGUGGUGUCUGUGCAGGUCAAACCAAAGACUCAGGUGGAACCCGUGCUGUUUAAGGCCUCUGCCGGACCACUCGAGGGCAAAACAAUGGUAAUAACCAUGGAUUCCGGCACGUCUUUACUCAUCAACCGGGAUCCCGCAGAACGCGAGUGUGACAUAUGCUUGAAUUUCGGCUCCACUGUAAAAUGUAGCUCCAAAUCAAAGAGCUUCACCGAUGUUGAAAACCUGUCCCUGGAGUUCGUCUGCCUAAAACCUCAGGACGUGUACACUGUGGAGGUCGAGAAGAAAAUAGAUUGUACCACAAGCUCCUGCAGUCCUUCUGUAGGAAAAGCUUAUCCCGACCUCUUCAAGGACUUUAAAAGAUCCUUCAGAUGGGACAUUAGUGUCCCAGAGAGAACUGUGUUAACUUUGGACUUUCCUGGGAAUGGACUGAAGGAGAUUUCUGGAGAUGAAAAGUGCCAAGAUGGUUUUCAGUAUUCAGUGAGUACAGUUAAAAGUGACGGAAGCAGCAAGAAUAACAUCUACUGCAAAGGCGGAACAGUGUCUCAGCUGGAUCUGUAUGGGGCGACAACUGUGGCUGUUGAAGUUCCCAAAGGAGGAGACCUGGACCAGAAUACAUUCAAUGUCAAAGCAGCACCAAGAGGCAAGGGCCCUUUCUUUCACUUUGUUCGACACCAGUGAAAUAUGGCUAUUUAUGUUUCAGAAAAUAUGCUGCUCGUAAUGGCCUUGUCUGCAAGCUCUCAUUCAGCUCAUAGACUCAGCUCAUAGGAUAUCACAUGAAAAAAACUCUC
ensembl:lncRNA